UUAAUUCAAGAAAAUUUGGAGAAAGAAAGAAAACAAAGAAGAGAGGGAGAAAAAUUAAGGGCCAUUCGGCCAAGAGUUCCAAAAAUUUAGUCCAUGAAAUUGGUCAAGAAAAAUUAUUUUCUUCUAGUUUUCCAAGCAAGUGGAAGGCCCUCUACAACAUGGAAGAGUUGUAGGAACAAGAAAAUCAUUCAAUCAUACAAAUUCAUAACCCUAGCCAAGUGAGAAGUUGAAGGAAAAAGACUAACAAGUUGGACGAAUAAGUGUAGCUAGUAAGGCGCGACACAGGUACACCCAGACGAGCAGAAACUAGUAUAGAAGAGGUUCCAGCGAAGAUGGUAGACCCCACUUGUUCCUGGGGGUGCUGCCGAGUCAGAGCUUGUAUGCUAGGAUUUCUGGAUUGAUGUUAGAGACUUUGCAGACAGAGUCGUGGGUUUCGGGAGUCAGUUUGUAUUAUGAUACAAGUUUUACACAGUUACAGAUUUUAUUUGAUUUGAAAGCAACAAAAAGAAUAUUUCAGUAAAUUUUAUUAUGUGUACUUGAUUUAGGGGUUCAAAGGGUUAUAUAUGUAAUAAGAGUCAGCGGGUUCGCUCGGCUCCGAGUAUGGGGUCGGGUGCCCAUCACACCCUAGUAGAGUCGGGGUGUGACACUUAAAAUCUUGGAUUGGCAUAUAACAUGAUCAGUUUGAAAAAUCCAAUUUUUAUAGUUGUUAAGAAUA